CAAUAUUUUUGCUCCAAAUUUUUUGUUUUAAUAUUUGUUUGAUAUCCCAAUCACUCAACUGUACAGUUAAUUCUAUAGUUAGGAAAGCAAGAUUUAGGAUUUACCUCUAUUUUUUUUAUUUUUUUUAGAUUCCGUAUUACCAAGUUAUAGUUCGAUUUUUUGCGUCAUUGAAUUAAUCAAUUGUUAAAAAAAAAUUAGAAGACAAGACAUAAAAUUCCAAUCAGAAGAUGAAAGAAAAUUCUCUAUCAAUAC
rnacentral:lncRNA from 1 species